rnacentral:rRNA from 1 species
UACGUAGGGUGCGAGCGUUAAUCGGAAUUACUGGGCGUAAAGCGUGCGCAGGCGGUUCGUUGUGUCGGCGGUGAAAGCCCCGGGCUUAACCUGGGAAUGGCCGUUGAAACUGGCGAACUGGAGUGUGGCAGAGGGGGGUGGAAUUCCGCGUGUAGCAGUGAAAUUCGUAGAUAUUCGCAAGAACACCAGUGGCGAAGGCGGCUCACUGGCCCGGUACUGACGCUGAGGCGCGAAAGCGUGGGAGCAACAGG